rnacentral:rRNA from 1 species
UACGAAGGGGGCUAGCGUUGCUCGGCAUCACUGGGCGUAAAGCGCACGUAGGCGGCUUUUUAAGUCAGGGGUGAAAUCCUGGAGCUCAACUCCAGAACUGCCUUUGAUACUGAGAGGCUCGAGUCCGGGAGAGGUGAGUGGAACUGCGAGUGUAGAGGUGAAAUUCGUAGAUAUUCGCAAGAACACCAGUGGCGAAGGCGGCUCACUGGCCCGGUACUGACGCUGAGGUGCGAAAGCGUGGGGAGCAAACAGG